rnacentral:rRNA from 1 species
GACGAACGCUGGCGGCGUGCCUAAUACAUGCAAGUAGAACGCUGAAGGAGGAGCUUGCUUCUCUGGAUGAGUUGCGAACGGGUGAGUAACGCGUAGGUAACCUGCCUGGUAGCGGGGGAUAACUAUUGGAAACGAUAGCUAAUACCGCAUAAUAGUAGAUGUUGCAUGACAUUUGCUUAAAAGGUGCAAUUGCAUCACUACCAGAUGGACCUGCGUUGUAUUAGCUAGUUGGUGGGGUAACAGCUCACCAAGGCGACGAUACAUAGCCGACCUGAGAGGGUGAUCGGCCACACUGGGACUGAGACACGGCCCAGACUCCUACGGGAGGCAGCAGUAGGGAAUCUUCGGCAAUGGACGGAAGUCUGACCGAGCAACGCCGCGUGAGUGAAGAAGGUUUUCGGAUCGUAAAGCUCUGUUGUAAGAGAAGAACGAGUGUGAGAGUGGAAAGUUCACACUGUGACGGUAUCUUACCAGAAAGGGACGGCUAACUACGUG